GCCCGGUUAGCUCAAUCGGUAAAGCGUAAGACUCUAAAUCUUAAGGCUGUGGGUUCGACCCCCACAUUGGGCG
rfam:Lobosporangium transversale strain NRRL 3116 BCR41scaffold_3, whole genome shotgun sequence.